GACGAACGCUGGCGGCGCGCUUAACACAUGCAAGUCGAACGGAAAGGCCUGCUUUCCCUUGUGGAUUGCGGGUACUCGAGUGGCGAACGGGUGAGUAACACGUGAGUGAUCUGCCCCCAACUUGGGUAUAAGCCUGGGAAACUGGGUCUAAUUCGCGAGAGGACUGCAGGGUGGUGCCUGUGGUGGAAAACGAUUUUCUAGUGGUUGGGGAUGAGCUCGCGGCCUAUCAGCUUGUUGGUGGGGUAAUGGCCUACCAAGGCGGCGACGGGUAGCCGGCCUGGGAGGGUGGACGGCCGCAUUGGGACUGAGACACGGCCCAGACGCCAACGGGCGGAAGCAGUGGGGAGUCAUGAGCAGUGAGCGGAAGCCUGAGGCAGCGAGGCUGCGGGGGCGAUGACGGGCUUCGGGUUGUGAACUACUUUCGACAGAGAGGAAGCAACAUGGUUGGAAGGGUGGUGACGGUAGUGGUAGAAGAAGCACCGGCUAACUACGUG
rnacentral:rRNA from 1 species